rnacentral:rRNA from 1 species
AGGAAAAGAAACCAACAGGGAUUGCCCUAGUAACGGCGAGUGAAGCGGCAACAGCUCAAAUUUGAAAUCUGGCGCAAGCCCGAGUUGUAAUUUGUAGAGGAUGCUUCUAGGUAGCGACCGGUCUAAGUUCCUUGGAACAGGACGUCAUAGAGGGUGAGAAUCCCGUAUGUGACCGGCCCGCACCUUCUACGUAGCUCCUUCGACGAGUCGAGUUGUUUGGGAAUGCAGCUCUAAAUGGGAGGUAAAUUUCUUCUAAAGCUAAAUACCGGCCAGAGACCGAUAGCGCACAAGUAGAGUGAUCGAAAGAUGAAAAGCACUUUGGAAAGAGAGUUAAAAAGCACGUGAAAUUGUUGAAAGGGAAGCGCUUACAACCAGACUUCUGGGCGGUGUUCCGCCGGUCUUUUGACCGGUCUACUCGCCGUCCCGAGGCCAACAUCAUCUGGGACCGCUGGAUAAGACCUCAGGAAUGUAGCUUCCCUCGGGAAGUGUUAUAGCCUGUGGUGAUGCAGCGCGUCUCGGGUGAGGUCCGCGCUUCGGCAAGGAUGUUGGCGUAAUGGUUGUCAGCGGCCCGUCUUGAAACACGGACCAAGGAGUCUAACAUCUAUGCGAGUGUUCGGGUGUCAAACCCCUACGCGUAAUGAAAGUGAACGGAGGUGGGAAGCGUAAGCUGCACCAUCGACCGAUCCUGAUGUCCUCGGAUGGAUUUGAGUAAGAGCAUAGCUGUUGGGACCCGAAAGAUGGUGAACUAUGCCUGAAUAGGGUGAAGCCAGAGGAAACUCUGGUGGAGGCUCGCAGCGGUUCUGACGUGCAAAUCGAUCGUCAAAUUUGGGUAUAGGGGCGAAAG